rnacentral:rRNA from 1 species
UACAGAGGGCCCAAGCGUUGUUCGGAUUUACUGGGCGUAAAGGGUGCGUAGGCGGUCGGGUAAGUCUGAUGUGAAAGCUCUGGGCUCAACCCAGAAAUGGCAUUGGAUACUAGCUGGCUAGAGGAAUGGAGGGGGGACUGGAAUACUUGGUGUAGCAGUGAAAUGCGUAGAUAUCAAGUGGAACACCAGUGGCGAAGGCGAGUCCCUGGGCAUUUACUGACGCUGAGGCACGAAAGCUAGGGGAGCAAACAGG